AGCAGCCGCGGUAAUUCCAGCUCCAAUAGCGUAUAUUAAAGUUGUUGCAGUUAAAAAGCUCGUAGUUGAACUUCGGGGUUCACCCAUUGGUCAGGCUUAAUUGUCUGUACUGGUGAGAUGAGUCUCUACCUUCUGAGGAACUUUCAUGCCAUUUAUUUGGUGUGAUGGGAAAUCAGGACUGUUACUUUGAAAAAAUUAGAGUGUUUAAAGCAGGCUCACGCUUGAAUACAUUAGCAUGGAAUAAUGAAAUAGGACGUUUGAUUCUAUUUUGUUGGUUUCUAGGAUCGACGUAAUGAUUAAUAGGGAUAGUUGGGGGCAUUAGUAUUCAAUUGUCAGAGGUGAAAUUCUUGGAUUUAUUGAAGACUAACUACUGCGAAAGCAUUUGCCAAGGAUGUUUUCAUUAAUCAAGGACGAAAGUUAGGGGAUCGAAGACGAUCAGAUACCGUCGUAGUCUUAACCAUAAACUAUGCCGACUAGGGAUCGGAUGAUGUUAAUUUUUUAAUGACUCAUUCGGCGCCUU
rnacentral:rRNA from 1 species